AAUUGAAGGUGAAUCUCUUGGACAUGCAACAUAUGUUUCUUGACAUUCAUCAUGAAGAAAGCCGUUAUCGUCCUCCUGGUGCUCGUGGCUCUGGCCACCAUUAUGACUGAGCGCCAGAACUAUGUAGAAGCAAUCAACUGUAGAGGAUACUUCCAAGGUGACUGCAAAACAGCUUGUGCCCAAGGAGAAGAAGAUAUGGGCAAGCAGUCCUGUGCAGAAGGCUACCGCUGCUGUUCCCCCCCGAAAAUGAGUGCCAAACGUAUAUAGAAAAGGAGCCUUUCUUUGACCACCAGCAUUUACUGUCAAGCCAGCGGAGUCUGCUAAAAGUCACCUGAAGUGUGCUCAUUUUUACUUAUGCAUAUCAAGCAAAAUUUGGAAGUUAAUGUUCCUGAAAAUAAAUGGCUUGAAUACUAA